rnacentral:rRNA from 1 species
AGGGAAUAUUGGGCAAUGGACGAAAGUCUGACCCAGCCACGCCGCGUGAAGGAUGACUGCCCUAUGGGUUGUAAACUUCUUUUGUAUGGGAAGAAACCUCCGAACGUGUUCGGAGCUGACGGUACCAUAAGAAUAAGCAUCGGCUAACUCCGUGCCAGCAGCCGCGGUAAUACGGAGGAUGCAAGCGUUGUCCGGAUUCAUUGGGUUUAAAGGGUGCGUAGGCGGAGAAUUAAGUCAGUGGUGAAAGCUUACAGCUUAACUGUAAAAAUGCCAUUGAAACUGAUUUUCUUGAGUUCGAUUGAGGUAGAUGGAAUGUAUCAUGUAGCGGUGAAAUGCUUAGAUAUGAUACAGAACACCAAUUGCGAAGGCAGUCUACUAAGUCGAUACUGACGCUGAGGCACGAAAGCAUGGGGAGCAAAC